rnacentral:rRNA from 1 species
UACUGAGAGUUUGAUCCUGGCUCAGGACGAACGCUGGCGGCGUGCGUAACACAUGCAAGUUGAACGACGGUGUCAUGAAGUGGUAACACGGAUUGGCAUACGGAGUAGCGGACGGGUGAGUACAACAUGAGAAGCUGUCCAAUAGCGGGGGAUAACGUUCGGAAACGGACCCUAAUACCCCAUAGGCCUUUUGGUUAAAGCAGCGAUGCGCUAUUGGAGGUGCUCGUGUCCUAUCAGCUGGUUGGUGAGGUAACGGCUCACCAAGGCGACGACGGGUAGCCGGCCUGAGAGGGUGUCCGGCCACACUGGAACUGAGAUACGGUCCAGACUCCUACGGGAGGCAGCAGUGGGGAAUAUUGGGCAAUGGGAGAAAUCCUGACCCAGCGACGCCGCGUGAACGAAGAAGGCCUUCGGGUCGUAAAGUUCUUUUAUGUGGGAAGAAGGAAGUGACGGUACCACAUGAAUAAGCCCCGGCUAACUACGUGCCAGCAGCCGCGGUAAUACGUAGGGGGCGAGCGUUGUCCGGAAUUACUGGGCGUAAAGGGCACGCAGGCUGUGCUUCAAGUCAGCUGUUAAAGGAUGCGGCUUAACCGUGUUAUGCAGUUGAGACUGAGGUGCUGGAGUGCCGUAGAGGCAAGUGGAAUUCCCAGUGUAGCGGUGAAAUGCGUAGAUAUUGGGAAGAACAUCGGUGGCGAAGGCGACUUGCUGGACGGUAACUGACGCUGAGGUGCGAAAGCCAGGGGAGCAAACGGGAUUAGAUACCCCGGUAGUCCUGGCUGUAAACGAUGAAUGCUAGGUGUGCGAGCAGAGAUGUUGGUGUGCCGCAGUUAACGCGAUAAGCAUUCCGCCUGGGGAGUACGGUCGCAAGAUUGAAACUCAAAGGAAUUGACGGGGGCCCGCACAAGCGGUGGAGCACGUGGUUUAAUUCGAUGCAAACCGAAGAACCUUACCUGGGUUUGACAUGUACGUGGUAGGAGUCUGAAAGGAUGACGACGCUGCCUUCGGGCAGUGAGCGUACACAGGUGCUGCAUGGCUGUCGUCAGCUCGUGUCGUGAGAUGUUGGGUUAAGUCCCGCAACGAGCGCAACCCCUGCGAUUAGUUGCCAGCGAUUCGGUCGGGCACUCUAAUGGGACUGCCAUCGACAAGAUGGAGGAAGGUGGGGACGACGUCAAGUCAUCAUGGCCCUUAUGUCCAGGGCGACACACGUGCUACAAUGGUCGGUACAGAGGGAAGCGAGGUUGUGAGGCCGAGCGGAUCCCGAAAAGCCGAUCUCAGUUCGGAUUGAAGUCUGCAAUUCGACUUCAUGAAGCUGGAAUCGCUAGUAAUCGCAGAUCAGCCAAGCUGCGGUGAAUACGUUCCCGGGCCUUGUACACACCGCCCGUCACACCACCCGAGCCGGGUGUACCCGAAGCCGGUGGCCUAACCUUAUGGGAGGAGCCGUCGAAGGUGUGUCUGGUGAGGGGGGUGAAGUCGUAACAAGGUAGCCGUACCGGAAGGUGCGGCUGGAUCACCUCCUUUCUAAGGAG